rnacentral:rRNA from 1 species
AGUGAACGCUGGCGAUAGGCCUAACACAUGCAAGUCGAACGGCAGCACAGUAAGAGCUUGCUCUUACGGGUGGCGAGUGGCGGACGGGUGAGGAAUACAUCGGAAUCUACUUUUUCGUGGGGGAUAACGUAGGGAAACUUACGCUAAUACCGCAUACGACCUACGGGUGAAAGCAGGGGAUCUUCGGACCUUGCGCGAUUGAAUGAGCCGAUGUCGGAUUAGCUAGUUGGCGGGGUAAAGGCCCACCAAGGCGACGAUCCGUAGCUGGUCUGAGAGGAUGAUCAGCCACACUGGAACUGAGACACGGUCCAGACUCCUACGGGAGGCAGCAGUGGGGAAUUUUGGACAAUGGGCGCAAGCCUGAUCCAGCCAUACCGCGUGGGUGAAGAAGGCCUUCGGGUUGUAAAGCCCUUUUGUUGGGAAAGAAAAGCAGCAGGUUAAUACCCCGCUGUUCUGACGGUACCCAAAGAAUAAGCACCGGCUAACUUCGUG